AGGACAUACGAAUGCUUACACAUGCAGUCGAUUCAAGUUACCUUCGGGUAAUGAGGAUGGCGGACGGGUGAGUAACGCGUAAGGAACUUGCCUCUUGGACUGGGACAACUGUUGGAAACGACAGCUAAUACCGGAUAUUAUGAGAUUCUCGCAUGAGAAACUUAUGAAAGCUAUAUGCGCCAAGAGAGAGCCUUGCGUUCCAUUAGCUAGUUGGUGGGGUAACGGCCCACCAAGGCGACGAUGGAUAGCCGGCCUGAGAGGGUGAACGGCCACAAGGGGACUGAGACACGGCCCUUACUCCUACGGGAGGCAGCAGUGGGGAAUAUUGGACAAUGGACCAAAAGUCUGAUCCAGCAAUUCUGUGUGCACGAUGAAGGUCUUCGGAUUGUAAAGUGCUUUCAGUUGGGAAGAAGCAAGUGACGGCACCAACAGAAGAAGCGACGGCUAAAUACGUGCCAGCAGCCGCGGUAAUACGUAUGUCGCAAGCGUUAUCCGGAUUUAUUGGGCGUAAAGCGCGUCUAGGCGGAAAAAUAAGUCUGAUGUUAAAAUGCGGGGCUCAACUCCGUAUUGCGUUGGAAACUGUUUUUCUAGAGUACUGGAGAGGUGGGCGGAACUACAAGUGUAGAGGUGAAAAUUCGUAGAUAUUUGUAGGAAUGCCGAUGGAGAAGUCAGCUCACUGGACAGAUACUGACGCUGAAGCGCGAAAGCGUGGGGAGCAAACAGGAUUAUAUACCCCUGGUAGUCCACGCCGUAAACGAUG
rnacentral:rRNA from 1 species